UACGUAGGGGGCGAGCGUUGUCCGGAAUUACUGGGCGUAAAGCGUGCGUAGGCGGCUCGUUAAGUCUGAUGUGAAAGCCCUGGGCUCAACCUGGGAAUGGCAUUGGAAACUGGCGGCCUAGAGUGCGGUAGAGGGUAGUGGAAUUCCCGGUGUAGCAGUGAAAUGCGCAGAUAUCAGGAGGAACACCGGUGGCGAAGGCGGGUCUCUGGGCCGAUACUGACGCUGAGGAGCGAAAGCGUGGGGAGCGAACAGG
rnacentral:rRNA from 1 species